UGUUGUAGACGUGUUCAUUUUUCUGGCCGCUCAUUCUGUUUCUUCUCUUCUUUCUAUCUCACCACAUCGAAGAAAUUGAAUCAAAAAAUUGAUCCAAAAAAACUGAAUCAAAUUCAUCAAGCUAUCACUUGUUAAAACUGAUCAUUAGAAGUUUGAGAAGACCAAAAUUAACCGAGAAACAUCAAAAACGAAGCAAAUAAUUCGGGUUCAUAAAAUCAAACUAUGGUGAUAUUAAAGAAGUUGAAAAAAAUUGAUUUUAAACAAGGCAUGUACUGCUAUAGCAAUUUAAUGAAGAGGAGGGUCGGAGAUAAUGGACAUAGAUUAAGAAGAAUAGAUGAGGACACCAACAAGACCAAGUAAUUUCCCAGAACGGUUAUAUUCAGAAAAUGCAUUUCGUGACCGACUUGGUCUGGAACAUGUUAAAUGAUUGACAUGUUAUUACUAUUUUCUAGCAUGAGUGGGUGAAUUUAUGAUUCAAAUGUUGAUAUUUGAAAGGUUUGUUAUAGCCCAUGGGGAUACCUUACGGUACAAAUAGAACCAUGUAAAAUAAAUUAUCUUUUUUAGUGUCAAUAGCAAAGAU